AGAGAAUAAUAUGGGUCAAAGGAAAGGAAAGGAAAGCGGAGAGGUCUUUGUUUCUUUCUUCCUUUCUUCUUUUUGUUGUCUUUCUCUUCUCCUUGCUCCCAACCUG
rnacentral:ribozyme from 11 species